rnacentral:lncRNA from 1 species
AUGAACACCCACCGCCCCCGCCCCCGCCCCUUCGCCAUUGUUGAAAAACCCACCACACCGGAGAGAGAGAGACAGAGCAUACCGCACGGGAGAGAGAGCAUGAACGGGUGGACGAUGAUGGUGGCUUCGAGGUAACAGUGAGGGUUUACAAGCUAGAGGAGCACCAGCCACCUGAUCUAGGGUUUCUGGAAGGGUUGGAUGUCUGGCAACAACUCCUCCGACGAAGGUUUGCCUGUAAAUUAGGGUUUAUUGUUGCUUUUCUGUUUACCGUCGCUGAAAAGCUCUGAAACCCGAUGACCAACUGAUUUGAGCUUGUGGGUACGUUACAGUAACAAGAUGGAGGCGGCGUGAGCUACGAUUAUUACGGGUCUCUGUUUGACUCCGUCAAGAAUUCCGAACUCCAGCGAAGCUUCAACGACUUCUCCGGUGACCGAUAUGGCUGUUGUUGUGUAAGUUUGAUGCGUUGUUUGCAGUGGUUUGUUGGUAGUUGUUGUGAUUUUAAGUUCAUAAUCUGGUUAUAUGAUUUGUAUUAGUUCUUUGUUGAGAUUAUAGUUUGAUUUUAGUAUUAAAUGAUAUUUUCGAAUCCAGAUCUCUAUUAUCUUACUGUGAACGAACUAUUUGAUUUUACUUGUAAAUGUAUAUUGGUCAGUGAAUCUCGCUAUUUGGUCUAAGCUGUCAUCCGUUUUUUUUGCGUUGAUUAUCUAAAUUCAAUGUUCGUAUUUUCAGAUGUAGAGGAGUAUAUGGGUUUAAUAACAUUUAUUACGAUUUUGGUAUGAGGUGAUGUUUCAGAAUCCAGAUAUGUGUGCAGUUGGCUAAGUAUGCAGCUUUAACACCGCCGUUAAUUAAAGUAAGGCCUUAUCGAGUCAGAUGGGAAGCAACGGAGAGAGAAAGGGCAAAGUCGGAUGGCGGAGUUACCGCGUUACUUCGACAAUAACCUCACUCCAGUGACGACGACAUGCGACGGGUAGGACUUCUAAGAUUCCGACUUACCUUUGUUGGUCAUAUUGUGAUUUAAGCUUCAGAAUCGAUUUGCAGUAUUUCAUCUCAGUAAAUCAAUUUUAGCAGCUAUCUGGUUAGGCUUUUUAUA